CCUGUGAUCCCCUGGCCCCAGCCCACAUGGAAACUAAUGGUAGCCUAAUGAAAAAAACACCCCCGUUUUUUACCAGCUGGUGGAAGUGAGUCUUGGGCCUGGGGUGAUGAGUGAUCUGCUCUGAGGCCAGAGUUGCUGGGCCAGGUGAGCAAGAGAGAGACCAGGAGCAGGAGCCAGAGCCGGAGCGGGCAGCUGGGUUGGACAGGGCCAGGACCAGCUGCCCCGAAGAACGUUUCGAUCUGCCUGUGAUCUUAAACACCUGUAGCCUAGAACACCACAACUUGUUAGUGUCCUGCCUGGAUCGCCCAUUCAGUAUGUGCCAGGUUGUGUGCCGGAUGACACCUCAGCUUCGCUCGGAAGCAAAGCCUGCCAUUCCAACAGCUUGCCAAUCUGGAACUAAAAACACAUCACUCAGCUAGAACUGGAAUCCCUGGAGACCUUCCUCUUGGCUACCACCAGAAGCAUCAGCCCUGAAGAAGGCACCAGCAAAAUCCAUGGA
rnacentral:lncRNA from 1 species